rnacentral:lncRNA from 1 species
UCCAUCUUCUUUGUUUGUGUGCCACUAGUGCGAGAUGCCUCCUUUGCUCACGAGUCGAGGCCAAAUCAGCCUCCGCUUCUUAUCCCUUCAACCGUUCAACGCUCAGAUCCUUGCACUUUCUACCGCUCGGGCGAUUCCAGAGGGACACGCGCGAAGAAUUGGGCAUGUGAAGGUUGUGAGGAAGAGAGGAGGCAAGGGAGAAUGACGGUGAUUGUGUCGAUAGGGGAGUGUGAUGCGUACAUCUCCAAUUCAAAAGGCGGCUUCUCCAGGGUGUGGCGACGGCUGUGGCGGUGCGUGAGAAAGAGAACCAUGUUGCGGCCAUCUUCGUUCAUGCUAUUGGUUUUAGUUUGUAAGUGAUUCUCCUUGCCAUUGCUUCAAUGUGGUAAUUCUGGUUUGUUAUGCAACAGAAUCAUUUUUCCUUGCCUGGUUAUUUGGCUAUUCCCUGCAAGUAAUAAUUAUGUUUUUUAUGCAAGGGAAUUGUGUUUGCUUGCCUGAUUAUUUGCUUGGAAUACAUCACGAUAUAUUGGUUAGAUUCUAGGUUUUUUAUUCCAGAUCUGCAGAAAUAGUAACUCUGGCUGUUUUUUACCAGACAUUAGAUUCCGAAUGGUGAGUACCCCAUGUGUAUCCUCAAGACUCAGUUUUUAUUUUUAUUAGUUUGUCUCAUCCUAUAUACCCCUACUUGUUUGAUUGAUUUUUUCUAUCAGCAGCUGUUGCAUACGCAACAUUGCUUCAUGUGAGUUCCAACCUGAGGCAUUAUGAUUUUUUAUUUUCUCUUGCGAGGGAACGAAGGGCCUAUUUGUCAAGCCCUUGAGCAAAGAACAAAAGCUAUUUCCAUUUUGUAAUUGAUACUUUGUAGAAGGGAUAUGGAUGGUAAACUGGUAUUGAUACAAUAUACACGUGCCAUAAUCUAAACAUGUAGUGUGAAAUUCGUAUCAUAUGGUGGUGGUUUAGAUUACUUCUCUUCUACCAUAGCAUGUUAAAUAGUGGUAAAUUAUACGCAUUAAUAAGUUAAAAACUCACAUCUCAGUUUCACCGAUAGGGCUUAGGGUUGAGUGCGCUAAUCAUAAAAAAGAUGGGACAUACCCCCAUGUUCUUAUAUUAUCCGAUUCACCCUCAUAAAAGAAUAAUAAUGCUGCAUACUGUAUUUUUUCUAUUGUUAUGGCAAAAACACUACGAUCGAUUAAUACGUUUACACACCAAACCGUCAUAGUUUUAUUCAGUAUGAUCCCCCCCCCCAACUUACAGUUCAUGAAGAAGAUGCUAAAAGGAGAUCAUGGUUAGUUAGUAAACUUAUUUACCUUUUAUUUUUUGAGAUGUCAACAUAUUUAAGUUGAUUAAGGCAUAAAUAUAUUUCACUAGAUCCUUUGACCAAUAAUGUAUCGGAGAGUUUGGACCAUGCCAACACAAUUGCCAUCCUAAAUUCGAAUAAAGUGUCCCAUUUCUUUUCAGUUCCCUCUUCAUGCAUACCAUGUGUAUGGACUUGGCUAUAAUACAAUCAUUUUCUGCACCCUUUUUAGGCAUCCAUGAGGAGCGAUUGAAGCCACAUUGGAUGUGCCUAAUGUUCCCGAAAGACCAAACAUGUACCAAUCGUCAUCAUGCUACAAGUACGAGGGCAGUAAGUGUUUCAUUACUAUGCCACUGUCUUGGUUCCACACCCCUCCUUCUGCUUUUGUAGUAAUUUUUAUGGUGUAGUCUAGCACCGAAGUUGUUUUUCCUCUGAUUUAUUUUUCUUAUUGAAAAUUACUUCCCUCACACUCAACAAUGUGAAUGUAUAUGAAUUUUUUUGGGUAGUUUGUCACAUGUCUUACUACUAAUAACGAUGGAGUGCAUCCUUUCUUUGCUUAAAUUUCACAAUCGUUCCUCUGUACUUUCAUGUAGAUUUCUGGUAAAGAGCAUUUACUAUGGCUCUGUUUGGAACCACCCAGAUUAUAUAAUCCAGUUUUUAUAAUCUAUUCUGUCUCCAAACAUGACAGAUUAUGGUGUAGAUUAUAAAAACUAGAUGGACAGAUUAUUAAAAACUCAUAAUCUACUCUACAACAGCUAAAAUCAGAUUAUGGAUUGCUAAUGACCCAUUACCCUUGUAAAGUUGGAGAUAAUUACAUUCCUACCACCGCCACCCUCCUCUUUUUUUAAAAAGAGGGCAGACAGGUCAUUAUGCAAUGUAAAACCUGGAUUACGGUUUAUACAAUCUGGCCUCCAAACAUGUCCACCUGAAUUAUUUUUAUAAACGAGAUUAUAUAAUCUACUUUCAUAAUCAAGAUUAUCAUAAUCUAUUGUGGUUCCAAACAGGGCCUAUGUAUUCAUAAAAAGAUUAUUUUGCAGUUAUAUCAUUCGUAUGUGGACAACCGAUCAUUGAAACUAAGAACAUUGUUCUAAAAAUCAUAAAAAAAUAACCAGGGACCAAAAUAAUCAUCAUUAUCAUCUCUUAUGACAAGGAUUUGUUUUGUUGAGCAUUCCCAUGCUAACUUUUCUCAAUUUACUUUCUUAAUCACGCUGAAGAGAUCAUUGGUUUCAUGUUUUACUCAAAUUUCACAAAGAUAUCGUCGUAACCGCUAUCUAUGUGCACCCUAGAUCUCAGAAAGAACCAACUUAGUUAUGCAAAGUGCUACAUUUGAUCUGAUGUACCCUUAUACAUUGUGUAUUCGUGUUUCUGCAAAAUCCUAGAUUUUAUCUACCACGUUACUUAACCAUUGAGGAAGGCAAUGCUAUCAUCCACUUGAUGCAACUUUUAUUCUUCCAUCCCUCUGAAAUAUCAUAUUUGCAAACAUAUUACUAUCAUGUAUUGAAUAUGAAUGUCUUAUGAAGUUACAUUGUAAUGAAUCAAUUGGUUCUAUUGGUAAUAUUAUAUCUAAUCUGAUUGUUUGUCUACCGUCCAAAGCUGAAUGAUACAACAAAGUAUUAUUCUAAAGUGUUGUUGCCAAAGUAGGAUAGUUUGUUCAUUAUUUUGUUCAUCAUAUUAGAAGAGUUAGUUUGGUAAGUAAAAUAACAAUUUUGAGCAAUAUUUCCCGCAGCAACGCAUGAGGAAUCAUCAAGUUGACCUAGUGCCCAGUGCCAAUUAUUAUUUUCUUUGUUGCUAGAGAACAUUUAUCCAUACGUGGUUGGUAAUUGAUGACAAUCGCUAUGGACUAAUUAUUGCCUUGAGUUAUAUUUAAAGGAUUUGUCUAUAGAAACUUCUUGAAGUCCAUCUGUUGGUUUCAAGGAGUUUAUAUGAUGACCAAGGUGGUAUUUUAGGUUUUAUACAAAGAUUGGUCAUAAAGACAUAAGGUUGAUCAAGACUAAGUCAAAGAACGAAUCAAGUUGAUCAACACACAAAGCGUACAAGAUGUACUGAGUGGGAUCAAGUGAUAUCAUGGUUUGAUAAGCAUUGUCCAUUACACUUUGUGUACUAACCCAUGGUCUACGUGAAAUUUCUAAAUGGGGUUAGGUAUAUUUACAUGGGCUUAUGUCAAGAGGAAGAUCUAAUAUGACCCAUGUAGGAUGACAUCAAGUGGUGAUUGUCAUCAAGAUUGUGGUGUGCAAGUUCAAGAGGAGCAUCAUGAAGAGAUCAUGCUUGAAGCUUGUCAUCCAUUGUAGUGGCAAUGGACUUCUGAAGAUGUGCUGAAGAGUGGCUCACCCAUAGUGGAGUAUGGGGAGGAAUCAACUAGCCUUCAUCAAGCCGGGGCAAUCGAGAAAGGUGGUCCAUCUUGAGGAGGAAAACAUCAUCAUCAUUUAGCUCAAGUGGACUAUGCGCAAGGCAAAGGUUUGUCCUUGAUAGGUUUUCUAUUUUACCGGUUUGAAUGUGUUAGUUAGGAGAUCAGGGUUAUAGGAUAGAUUGAUGUACUAUCAAGGGGGUUCUCAAGUAAGUAGCUUGAUUGUAUCAUUUGUUGAGAUCUCAAAUCAUUGGACUCUUGGCAUCAUCAUCUUUCUGUGUUAUUGGUUGGAUUUUCUCUAUGCGGGUUCUUGAGCUGAUGGUCAUCUACAUGAAAAGCUCGAGUUCAUCAAAAACGGAGUUUAUGUGCAUCUUCUAUGAUGUUUUUGAUGUUGGAGUUUUUUGCCGUUUGUUCGUUCAUAGAGGUUUCACAUCUCUAUAUAAUUGGCGUUUUUAUAACUGCACGUUUUGAUAGUACUUGUCAUGUGCUAUCCAACAAGCUAGACUUUGCUCAACUUGAAGCUCGUAUGCGAAAGUUAUGGCAAUUUUAGUUCUAGGGCAUGUUUUCUCUCUCAAGCAGAAGUACCACUGGGGGCAGAGCGAUAGUACCUCCUAGGCGGUGCUGCCACCCUCCCCUGCUAGCCUCUUUUUCAUUUAUUUUCCCUUUCUGGCAUCUUGGGCGCCGUUACCAAUUUUAAGCGGAAGUACCGGUGGGGGCGAUGGGGUAGUACCGCUCCGGCGGUACUGCCGCCCUCCCCGGCAUGCCCCUCUUCCACUUAUUUCUCCUCUCCAGCUUCUGAGAUGUCAUUGCUCUUUUUAAGCGGAAAAUACCACUCGGGGCUCAACAGCAGUACUGAUCCAGCAGAAGUACCGCUCCUCCAAGCGGUAGUACCGCUUGUGCACAAUCAGUGCACGUAACAAUUGGGUUUGGGGGAACCUAUUUAAGGGGGUUUUCUUCCCCAAUGGUUACCCAUCACUUCAGCUCGUGUUCUUCCCCCAUUGUUGACCUUCUUCGAGCUUGCUAACUCUCAAUCCCUCCAAUGAUUCUUGCUAGUUUUUGAGGGAAAAGAGAGAGGAGAUCUAGAUCCACAUUACCACCAAUCACUUUCUCCUCUAUGUGAGGGAAACCCCUUGGAUCUUUAUCUUGGAGUUCUUUGUGAGCUCCUUGUUCUUCCUCUCAUAUUCCUCCAUAGCUUUUGUUGUUGUGGAGGGAUUUGAGUCAGAGGAACUUGAACACUUUGUAUCUUCUUGCCAUUGCAUUAGUUGCAACGGUUUGAGUUCUUCACGGUGAUACGCGGAAGUGAAAAGUUGAGAAGCUUAUUACUCUUGGGUGCUUGGUACCCUAGAGCUUGUCCGUCUUGCGUGCUUUGUCAUCCUAGAAGCUUGGUGGUGCAUCGGAGCUCAAUCAUUGUAGUGCAAAGCUUCGUGCAAGCUUCGGGGUCUUCAAUUAAGUUGUGGAGUUUGCGCCGAGCAUUUGAGGUCAUAUCGGAACCACAAUCCAUUGUGGUUAAGCUUCGCGGUGUUGUUGGGAGCCUCCAAUUAAGUUGUGGAGAUUGCUCCAAUCUUUUCUGUACAUGUUCAGUGACCACCCUCAAGUGUCCCUUAGUGGAAUCAUGACGUCUUGCAUUGUGCGAGGGCGUGAUGAGAUUAGGGUGACCCUACGGGCUUCUUGGGGAGCAUUGUGCCUCCACACCGCUCCAAACGGAGAGUAGCAUCCGCAAUUGUGUGAACUUCGGGAUACAUCAUCAUCUCUGCGUGCCUCAGUUAUCUCUUACCUGAGUCCUUUACUUAUGCACUUUACUUUGUGAUAGCCAUAUCGUUUCUUGUUUUAAAUCUUGCUAUCACUUAGUUGUUUAUCUUGCUUAGCAUAAGUUGUUGGUGCACAUACGUUAGCGUGUUGUUUUAGGUUUUGUGCUUGACUAAUUAAACGUUAGUUUUAUUCUGCAUUUGUUCAAGCCUAAACCUUAAUUAUUUGAAAGUGCCUAUUCACCCCCCUCUAGGUGACAUCCAUGUCCUUUCAUGCGUGUUUUUACUUUUCAGGUUUACAGUACCAAAUGAAGUCGAAUUGCCCUGGAACCUUUUAAUGAUUUUUUGUGGACCCAAAUAAAACCUGGAAGCCUCGGGAGAAGACCGGAGGCCACACGAGGGAGGCACAAGCCAACAGGGCACGACCAGGGGGGUCGGCACACCCUCAUGGCUUGUCCCUCCUUCGUGGCCCUCCUACCCUUGUUCCGUGGCCAAUAAAUUCACAUAUAUUACAAAACCCCCCACGAAUAUCGCAAAACACUUUUUCCGUUGCCGCAAGUCUCUGCUUCAGGACGAUCUCAUCUGGAGCUCCGUUCCGGCACCCUGUCAAAGGGGGGAUCGAUCAUGGAGGGCCUCUUGGUCAACCUUGCUGCACUCAUGAUGAUGUGUGAGUAGUUCACCAUAGACCUACAGAUCCGUAGUUAGUACCUAGAUGGCUAUCUCUCUCUCUUGAUCUUCAAUACAAUGAUCAUCACAUCUUUGCUUUGAUCCAUCCGAUGUAAUACUUUUGUAUGGUGUGUUUGUUGGGAUCUGAUGAAUUGUGGGUUUAUGUUCAGAUUAUUCAUGAAAAGUAUUUGUGUCACCUCUGAUUAUUAUCAUUCUUAAUUGCAUGAUUAUCAUAGCUUAGUAAAUCUCUCUAAUCUAUUGAAUUGCUUUGGCCAAGUAGAUUCAUAGUUCUUCACUGAGAGGGGUAUGUUGUAGUGGGUUCAACAUGAUGGGUUUCUGUAUCCCAGUGAUAGAGGGGGACAAGAUGCAUCUUUGUGUCAUUGCUAUUAAGGAUAAAACAAUGGUGUUUACUCAUAUUGAUUGAGUUUACUUUGUCUACAUCAUCUCAUCAUUCUCCAAGCAUUACUCUAUUUUUCAUGAACUUAAUACGUAGAGAGGCAAGCAUAGAGGUGCUCUUGAAGUGGAGUAAUAGUAGUAGGUGCAGGCAGGAGUCGUCCUAUUAUCUUAUGGACGUGAUGCCUAUACACACAUGAUCAUUGCCGUGAAAAUCGCAUAACUAUCCACUUUUCUCUCAAUUGACCAACAGUAAUUUGUUUACCCACUGUAUGUUGCUUUCAUGAGAUAUGCUAUUAGGAAAUACUAUGGCCCGCGGGUCUAUUCACUUACAUAUUUACAAAACUUAUCUUGAUCUUGCUGCCUUUAUUUGUGUAGGAUCGAAAGUAUGUCUAGAGGGGGGUUGAUCAGACUACUUGACAAGAUUUUUUUUGCCUUUUCCCAAUUUUACUUGAGUGGCACCUACGACAGUUAUAACAGGUAAAGCACACCAUACACAUGUAGUUCUAAUAGUAUUGUCGUGGAAAGUAAAACAUGCAAGUGUAAAGUAGAGGAGUAAGGUAGGGAGAUCAAACACAUAAGGUUAACACGACGAUUUUUGGCAUGGUUCCGAUAGGUGGCGCUAUCGUAUGUCCAUGUUAGUGGAGACUUCAACCCACGGAGGGUAACGGUUGCGAGAGUUCACGGAGGGCUCCACCUAUGGAGGGUCCACAAAGAAGCAGCCUUGUCUAUCCCACCACGGAUUACGUCCACGGCGGACUAGCCUUACUCACGGUAGAUCUUCACGAAGUAGGCGAUCUCCUUGCCCUUACAAACAUCUUGGUUCAACUCCACAACCCGAAGUAGGAGGCUCCCAAACGACACCUAACCAAUCUAGGAGGCACUACCCCCCAAAAGGUAAUAGAUGGGGUAGAUCAAUGAACUCCUUGCUCUUGUGCUUAUACAGAUAGUCUCCUCAACACAAAUCUCUCUGUCACAGAAUAUGCAUGGGUAGGACAUGUUGAUCUGGUGGAAAGCAGGUUCGGGAGGCUAGAGAUCAAGAUUCAAAUGAUUGGAUUGGAAUAUCUUGGUCUCAACACAUGAGUAGGUGGUCUCAGAAAAUGGAUCUGGAAAUGAAGUGUGUGUUCUGAGUGCUUCUCCCACGAAUGAUAGGUGUGUGGGUGAAGGGGUACAUAUAGGCAGCAGCCAAAAUUCAACUGUUACACACAAAAGUGCAAACUCGGUGACACCGAAGUGGAUAACUCGGUGGUACCGAAUAGAACUAAAGGUGUGAACUUUUGAAUCUCGGUGAGAACGAUAUAUAGAACUAGGUGGCACUAAAAAGGUGACUAACGGUCGGAUGGCCAAACUCGGUGGGAGCGAUACUCAAACUCGAAAAUUCCGAUUUUGUGUAUCUUGGCAACAUAAUGUCGGUCAUAGUGAACUCGGUAGCACCGAUGCAGUUUCGGUUGCAUCAUUUUGGUGGAAAUGGCUAGGGUUCUGUCUUAGGUUCAAACUUGGUGGGUCUGAUGUGGCAAUGUUGGUUACACCAAAUUUUUGAAUGUGGAACUUGACAGAGUGGAUAUGUGGGGAAAAUGACUGAGUGUUUUGGUGGCUAACUUUGACAUUUUGAGCAAUCAGUUCAUUUCAAUACCUCACCCCCUUUUAAUAGUAUUGUCUUUCUUAUGGAUUCAAAAAUGAUUUCUCACAAAUAUAAAAUGAAGAGGCUUCUAGCUUGAAACUUGAGCCAAUAUUAUUCCUUUCUUUCAUCCAGGGGCAUCUCCACAUAAACCUUAAGCCAUAGCAUCUUUUGAACUUUUCUGAAAUAUACUUGGAAAACACAUUAAUCCAAUGAUGCAUAUGUUGUGAUCAAUUAUGAAAACCACCCUAGGGAGCAAUUGUGCUUUCAAUUUGUCUUUUAUUUUAUUUUGCAAUUUCAACUGUUUACACCUGACUCGCUUGCUUGUACCAAGAUCAAAGGGAUAGACAACUCUCUUGCCCAUGUUGGGUGCAACUUGUUUGCCCUUUUGUGUGCAGCCGGCGAAGACGGUUGAGGAUUGAUAUUCCUAUUGGUUCGAUAAACCUUGGUUUCUUAACUGAGGGAAAUACUAAUAUGUAUUGUGAUGCAAUUACCCGUUCCUCUUCAUAGAAAACCCAACGUGGAUCACAAGUAUGAUAUUCCCACAUAGGAUGUUCUCACAUAGAGGUUCUCAACUCCAUGGGAGAGGAAGUGGAAGGAGCAAUGCUCUACUAGUUUAUGAGACAACACAUUGAUAACCAUAAAAAUAGGAGGAGGGGUCCUUUAUAUAGUACUAGACGAAAGAGAGGAAGGAGAGGAGGGAUAUAUGUCCUUUGGCCACGUUUGCCCGCACACGGGUCGGAUGUCCGGGUCAUGGGGCUAGAUGUUCGGGGCUUCUAGUGGGGGCCGGAUGUCGUGGACGUUUGGCCGGAUGUCUGGGCUCGGUCAGGUUAGAGAGCUCCGUUUUCUCACAUUUUUGGGCUGGAUUUCUGGGGUGAAGGCCAGAUGUCCGGUCGCUGUAGGUCGGCCGGUUCUACCUUGGCGCUAGUCGGAGCUCUUGGGGUCGGAUGUCGAGGCCAUGGGCCCGAUGUUCGGGUCCUAUAGGGUGUCGUAGCCUUCCUUUCUCGAUCUUCUUCAACCACCUUUUGUUCUUCUUCAUGAUUGUUGGACCUCCUUCCAAGUGUCUCCGAGGUCGUUCUCAUGGUACCAAAGCAUGCAUAGAAUCUUCGCUUGAGGUAGCAUCCAAGUUCCAAGAGUACCGAAUGGAGAUUCACUAAGGAGAGAUGUCACCUCAGUUUCAAUGGUACGUGCACGGGCUUUUGUCAAGGGACCACUCAGAGCUUGAGGUGUCGGUGAUGUAUCCAUGGACAUGACCAUAGGAUGUUGUGUAUCAUCUCCCCCCUUGGUAAUGAUCUAUCCUAAGAUCGAUAUCUUCAUCACCAUGGUAAGGGGAUAGGUCCUUGAUGUCGAAGGUGUUUCUCACAUUGUACUUGUCGCGUGGAAUGUCGAUCUUGUAGUGUAGGAUCGAAAGUAUGUAUAGAGGGGGCGGGUGAUUAGACUACUUGACAAGAUAUUUUUUUUUGCCUUUUUCCAAUUUUACUUGAGAGGCAGCUACGUCAGUUAUAACAGGUCAAGCACACCCUACACAUGCAGUUCUAAUAGUAUUGCGGCGGAAUGUAAAACAUGCAAGUGUAAAUAGAGGAGUAAGGUUGGGAGAUCAAACACAUGAGGUUGACACGACAAUUUUUGACAUGGUUCCGAUAGGUGGCGCUAUCGUACGUCCAUGUUAGUGGACACUUCAACCCACGGAGGGUAACGACUGCGAGAGUCCACGGAGGGCUCCACCCACGGAGGGUCCACAAAGAAGCAGCCUUGUCUGUCCCACCACGACUUCCGUCCACGGAGGACUAGCCUUACUCAUGGUAGAUCUUCACGAAGUUGGCGAUCUCCUUGCCCUUACAAAUAUCUUGGUUGAACUCCACAACAUGAAGUAGGAGGCUCCCAAGCGACACCUAACCAAUCUAGGAGCCACCACCCUCCAAAAGGUAAUAGAUGGGGUAGAUCAAAGAACCGUUUCCUCUUGUGCUUCGAAAGAUAGUCUCCUCAACACAAAUCUCUCUCUCACACAAUAUGCAUGGGUAGGAGAGGUUGAUUUGGUGGAAAGCAGUUUGGGGAGGCUACAUAUCAAGUUUCAAAUGAUUGGAUUAGAAUAUCUUGGUAUCAACAUAUGAGUAGGUGGUUCUCUCUUAGAAAAUGGAUCUGGAAAAGAAGUGUGUGUUCUGAGUGCUUCUCCUACGAAUGAGAGGUGGUUGAAGGGGUAUAUAUAGACAGCAACCAAAAUCAAACCGUUACACACAAAAGUGCAAACUCGGUGACACUAAAGUGGACAACUCGAUGGUACCGACUAGUACUAAAAGUGUGAACUUUGAAUCUCAGUGAAACCGAUAUAUAGAACUCGGUGGCACCGAAAAGGUGACUAACGGUCAAAUGGCCAAAGUCGGUGGCACCAAUACUCAAACUCGGAAAUUCCAAUUUUGUGUAUCUUGGCAACAAAAUAUUGGUCACACAAACUCGGUAGCACCGAUGCAGUUUCGGUUGCAUCGAUUUGGUCAGAAUGGCUAGGGUUCUAUCUGAGGAUCGAACUCGGUGGGUCCGAUGUGGCAAUGUUGGUGACACCGAAUUUGUGUAUUUGGAACUUGACAGAGUGGAUAUGUGGGAGAAAUGACUUAGUGUUUUGGUGGCUAACUUUGAGAAUUUGAGCAAUCAGUUCAUUUUACUACCUCACCCCCUUUUAAUAGUAUUGGCUUUCCUAUGGACUCAAAAAGUGAUUUCUCAGAAAUAUAAAAUGAAGAGUCUUUUAGCUUGAAGCUUGAGCCAAUAUUAUCCCUUUCUUGCAUCCACGGGCACCUCAACAUAAACAUUAACCCAUAACAUCUUUUGAACUUUUCUGAAAUAUACUUGGAAAACACAUUAGUCCAAUGAUGCAUAUGUUGUGAUCAAUUAUCGAAACCACCCUAGGGAGCAAUCGUGCUUUCAAUGUUCCCCUUUUUGGUAAUUGAUGACAACAUAUAGAUAAAAGCUUCGACAAAAGAUAUGAUGAAUGAUUAGCAUUGACGCUAUGAGAAGUAUGUGAAAAGCAAGAGCUCCCUCUAAAUUUGUGCAUUAUUUAAAAUUUGCGUUUGAAUGCAAAUGCACAACCGAUUAGGAUCAUGGGUUACUCUUCCAUGUCACAUAAAUCUUGGUGGUGUGUAAAAGGAAUAACAAUGCACAUGACACCAACAAGAUAAGUGUAUGAUCAUCACACGGAUAGCUAAAAGAUAAUAUCGUAGCAUCACAUAGGAUAAAGCGUAUGAUCACACACAGAGAUUGGGUAAAGUCAUCCAAAAACCAAAGUUUUUAAAACCAAAAAGAGAGAAAAUAAUGUCAAAAGCUCUCUCUCACACGAAGUCUAUGAUCUAUACAUUUCCCCCUUUGGCAAUAAGUUACAAAAAAGUACAAAAGUAUAGAACUACUCGUGUCUCUGGGCAACUGAUGAUGGAGUCGAUAAAAUGGCGUCUGUGAAGACUUCUGCUGACAUUCCUGGAGCUGGAGGAGUUGAUACUGAAGGAGCUUGAGGUGGAGCUGGUGCUGAAGGUGCUGAAGCUUGUGAUGAAGAUGUCUGUCUUGUCUCUGGAGCAGGAACAACAACUGAUCGGGGCCUUUUGCUGAAUUGUGUAGUAGUUGGAGGAGGAGAUUCAUCCUCGUCAUCAUCAUCUUCACCUUCAUCCUUUGAGCGUGGAAUCUCGACAGACUCAACUUCAUGUUGAAGCUGUUUGACAAUGGUGGUCAACUCAGUUGCCUUCAUAUCCAUGUUGUGGAAUUUUGUCUCCACAACUCUCUCAAGGCGCUUCUGAUUUUGCAUAAUGCCCUGAAUGUUCUUCUCCAUGCCUUGGACAGUUCUCACUAGAAAUGCCAUUUUCUCAGAUUGAGUUCUGAGCUGUGGAACUGGAGGUGUCUUGUUCCUAGCAGCUUCAGUCUUUGCUUCCUCUGCUGCCAUUCUUGCUGCAGUUGAGUUGGGAUCAUUUUCAUCCAUCACAACCUCAUUAUCUAUAAAUUCUGGCUGAAAAGGUAGAUGGGGACGAUCAAGUUGAUAUGCAUGCUUGCCUAGCUUGGCAUUGAUGAGCAUAUGAAUAUAAGGGGCAUAUCUACAGGAUCACUUUUGAUCUGCAUCAGUCCUUCGGAUAGUCUCAACUAUCAAGUCCAUCACUCUAAAUCUGGUAUGGGUAUCAAGUAGGUGCAGCAGGUUGAUUGAAUAUCCUGUGAUCAUCUUCUCAUCUCCUGACUUAGGCAUGAGAGUGUAUCACAGUAUAGUGUUUGUCGUGGGAAUACCAGCUUGCAGAAAAUAUACUGAGCCAAGCUUGUGACUAGCCAAGUACUGAUAUGGAAUCAUCUUGUACAUGUUGGCCAUGGAGUUGUGAUUCUGCUUAGCAUCUCCAUACACAUCUACAUCUACUUCUUCCUGCUUGGGAACACCAAUGAUAGCAACCCAUUCAUCAAUUGUAGCAUCGUAUCUGUGUCCAUCGUUCAUCAAAACUAAAGAGUCAUCAUAGAAUUGCAUGAUCAUCUCGUCAUUCCACGGGGUAAUCUCCUUCCCAAAAAAAUCUUCCAUGUCAACUAGCCUGAAGUUCUCUUGAACAUGCGGAAAGAAAUUCUCAUUCUGCUUGAUGUAUGCCUAGUCGACAUACCUCAUAUCACUGACGGCAGGAUUCUUGUCAUACAAGACAGUCUCAUAAAAUCUUGUUGUUCCUUGGUGUGAAACCUUGGAUCAACAACAAUUCUUCUUUUGACAACAUAUGGAUCAACAGCUCUCCAUUUUCUUAAUCCGUCAUCCUUCCUCUUCUUCAUGUCUACUGCUAUAGGUUGAGCAUCAUUGUGGAGUGGUACGUAUGGUCUAAGCUUCCCGAGAACUGGAGCAUUCUCAUCUUCUUCCUCUUCUGCAACAUGGGCACUUGAUGCAGGGCCUUUGCUCUUAGUAGCUGCAGGUACAUCUCUGGUGGUCUUCUUGGAAGCUACAACCUUCUUUGCUUUUGCAGCGGGCUUUGGAGCAGACUUCAUUGCAUCACCCAUUAGCUUCUUCUUCUUGGGAGGAACUGGGAUCUCCUCAGGAGCUUCUUCCUCACCUUCUUCUGGGUCUUCAAACAUAGAAGUCUUUCUACCAACAAGAUGGAUAGUUCUUUUUGUUGGAAAUAUGCCCUAGAGGCAAUAAUAAAUUAGUUAUUAUUAUAUUUCUUAGUUCAUGAUAAUCGUUUAUUAUCCAUGCUAUAAUUGUAUUGAUUGGAAACACAGUGCAUGUGUGGAUACAUAGACAAAACACUGUCCCUAGUAAGCCUCUAGUUGACUAGCUCGUUGAUCAAAGAUGGUCAAGGUUUCAUGGCCAUAGGCAAGUGUUGUUAAUUGAUAACGGGAUCACAUCAUUAGGAGAAUCAUGUGAUGGACUAGACCCAAACUAAUAGACGUAGCAUGUUGAUCGUGUCAUUUUGUUGCUACUGUUUUCUGCGUGUCAAGUAUUUGUUCCUAUGACCAUGAGAUCAUAUAACUCAUUGACACCGGAGGAAUUCUUUGUGUGUAUCAAACGUCGCAACGUAACUGGGUGACUAUAAAGAUGCUCUACAGGUAUCUCCGAAGGUGUUCGUUGAGUUAGUAUGGAUCGAGACUGGGAUUUGUCACUCCGUGUGACGGAGAGGUAUCUCGGGGCCCACUCGGUAAUACAACAUCACACACAAGCCUUGCAAGCAAUGUGACUUAGUGUAAGUCACGGGAUCUUGUAUUACGGAACGAGUAAAGAGACUUGCCGGUAAACGAGAUUGAAAUAGGUAUGCGGAUACUGACGAUCGAAUCUCGGGCAAGUAACAUACCGAAGAACAAAGGGAAUGACAUACGGGAUUAUAUGAAUCCUUGGCACUGAGGUUCAAACGAUAAGAUCUUCGUAGAAUAUGUAGGAUCCAAUAUGGGCAUCCAGGUCCCGCUAUUGGAUAUUGACCGAGGAGUCUCUCGGGUCAUGUCUACAUAGUUCUCGAACCCGCAGGGUCUGCACACUUAAUGUUCGACGUUGUUUUAUGCGUAUUUGAGUUAUAUGGUUGGUUACCGAAUGUUGUUCGGAGUCCCGGAUGAGAUCAUGGACAUCGCGAGGGUUUCCGGAAUGGUCCGGAAACGAAGAUUGAUAUAUAGGAUGACCGCAUUUGAUUACCGGAAGGUUUUCGGAGUUACCGGGAAUGUAUUGAGAAUGACGAAUGGGUUCCGGGUGUUCACCGAGGGGGGGGGGCAACCCACCCCGGGGAAGCCCAUAGGCCUUGGGGGUGGCGCACCAGCCCUUAGUGGGCUGGUGGGACAGCCCAAGAAGGCCCUAUGCGCCAUAGGAAGAAAAUCAAAGAGAAAAAAAGGGAGGAGGUGGGAAAGGGAAGAAGGACUCCACCUUCCAAACCAAGUCGGAUUCGGUUUGGAAGGGGAGACCUUCCCCCCUUGGCUCGGCCGACCCCCUUUGGGCCUCUUGAGCCCCAAGGCAAGGCUCCCCCUCUUCCCCCUAUAUAUACGGACGUUUUACGGCUGAUUUGAGACAACUUUGCCACGGCAGCCCGACCACAUAUCUCCACGGUUUUACCUCUAGAUCGCGUUUCUACGGAGCUCGGGCGGAGCCCUGCUGAGAUUAGAUCACCACCAACCUCCGGAGCACCAUCACGCUGCCGGAGAACUCAUCUACCUCUCCGUCUCUCUUGCUGGAUCAAGAAGGCCGAGAUCAUCGUCGAGCUGUACGUGUGCUGAACGCGGAGGUGCCGUCCGUUCGGCACUAGAUCGUGGGACUGAUCGCGGGACGGUUCGCGGGGCGGAUCGAGGGAUGUGAGGACGUUCCACUACAUGAACCGCGUUCACUAACGCUUCUGCUGUGCGAUCUACAAGGGUACGUAGAUCCAAUAUCCCCUCUCGUAGAUGGACAUCACCAUGAUAGGUCUUCGUGCGCGUAGGAAAUUUUUUGUUUCCCAUGCGGCGUUCCCUAACACUUUUCCUCGGCCUCUUCACUGGCACAUAUCUUCUUGACAACUUUCCUUGGAGGAGCCUUAGGAGGGGCUGAAGUUUCUUCUGGCAUAAAAUCCGAGUCUUCCUCAUCGGAAAUUAUCUUCCUCCUUUGCCUAGUGGCUGCUUUGCGCAAGCCAUGUGAGCUGGGAGAACUAUGGUCUAAAGCAGUCCUCUCUGGAGUUGUGCCAUCAUCCAUCUCGACACUCUGCUCUCCGAAAUCAUUCUGACUGUCAUCUGAACCUGACAUACUGCCAGACAAGCACAACAACAAGCAAUAGAACAUGUGAAGUGGAUGUAGGGAAGACAGAAUGGAUGCGCAUCACAAAAUUCAUAUAGUUUUUUGAAAAUCUGAAGUGUGAAACUCAGGGUAUGAUCUUCUGCAGGAUGUAAAUCGGUGGCACCGAGUUGGCAUUUUUGGAGUCACCGAGAAAAUAGACUCGCUUAACAGAAACUUGGCAGUCAUUUUCGGUGGCACCGAAAAUAGAUGCUCGGUCUCACCGAGUUGCUUCUCAGGAACCCUAAAAUAGGAAUCGGUGGAACCGAUUUUACAAACUCGGUCUCACCGACUUGCAUUGUGCGGCAGAUCAGAUCCGAAAUUUCCUACUUCUGCUAAACUACUGAUUUUAUCUGGUGGACGGGAGGUUUGCAAAUGUGGAAGGAAGAAAUUAAAGAUCCAAUGCGUGAGAAUCAGAUGGGGAACGCAAAGGGGAUCGAACCAUACCCUAGCUCGGUGGCUGUUCGGCUACGUCGACGACGCACGAGCAGAUUUUGUCGACGACGGCGAGUCCCAGCGGCGGCGGCGCUCGGGGAGUAAAGGCGAUGACCUAGGGUCUCGAGGAGCAGCGUGGGUUUGGCGAAUGAACUGUUUUGUUGAAGUGAAAUCAAAAGUUCCGGUCCGCACGUAUAUAUACCUAUGCGUUGUCGGUGUCAUCAAGAUGGCAAAAUCGGUGUCACCAAGUUCCUCAACUGUUAGUAGACAAGGAAGCUCGGUGUAACCGAGUUGGCGACUCCGGUGGUACCGAGAUGAGAAAACCUUAUCAACUUUGGAAAAUCGGUGGCUCCGAGUUUGUGGAGUUGGUCACACCAAGUUAUUCAAAGAGAUUUUGUAAGGCAACCUUUGAUGAUACUGAACUCCGAGUGCACAUUCACAUAGAGGGAUCGAUAAGUGCUUGUUCAAGUUUUGCGAUGAAGCAUGAAUAGAGCUUGAGAUGAGAUAACAUAGAUAGCUAGAGAAGGGUCCUAGGCAUUCUUGUCCAUCCAAUUGGCAAAAGAUUAAACAAAAGCCAUAUAACAACAAUUGGAUGUCCUCGAAUGAUUAAAUUCAUGCAUACCAACAUGCUCACACAAUAAGAAUGAUGAUACAAACAUGGUGAACAUGCACAAACAUCCUAGCAGCUAUCAAGCACUUGGGCGAUGACAAGGUCAUCUAUACAUGAGUAUAUUGACAUAUGAGCCAAGCAAGAAUAUUUGAUCAUAGGUCAUACUCAUCGUUGUGCACAAGUGGGGUUACCACUUUUACAUAAGCAUUAAUUUGUUCAUAUCCUUAGGACAUGCCUAUACUCAAGUAUUAAAGUAAAGCUCCCCCUUGAUAUGAUAUCCCCACAAAGAGGGAUAACCUAACCUUGGGUUUUGUCGUGGAAGACUUCAAGUAGGUGAAGCAGUGGUGGAUGCUCAAUGUUCAUGAAGAUCAUCUUGAGUUGGGAGCAAUCCUUGUUGUUUUCAUACUCUUCUCACCUACAUGGGUUAGUCCCAAAGCAAAAAGGAACAUAUGCAAGUAUAUCUAUGGACAUGGAGUGAAGCACAAAUGGGAUGAUGUCCAAAGAUGCAUUGAUUACCUAGUUCCUUGCUUACCUUUGAGGGAAUGUGUGACUCAUCGAACUAAUACAUAUGGUUGAGGUUGAUUGCAUAUUGUUCUUGCCAAAAUGAAUAAGAAUGAAUUUCAUUGGCAGAGUCACCCCUCAAGAACUACUAGUUCUUCCUCUUGGGAAUCCACAUCAAAUUGAUGGGAGUCCUUGGAGUUGUUGUAGCACUUGUUGAGGUAGAGCUAGUAGUAUCCUUGGGAACCCACUUGACCUUGGCUUGGGGUUCUUCUUCAAAUACGUGAAUGUCAUCUUGAAGCUUUCCCUUUCCUUUGUAGUCUUGUGGUGGAAGGUCAUCUUGUGAGCUCGUUCCUUCAGAAGGAGUGGACUUAUCCUCUUGGGGAACAAACUUGAGAGUGGGAUAUGGACCUUCUUCCCAAACAUCUCCAUUGACGUUGAAGUAGACAACACCUUGUUUCUUCCGAUGUCCUCCUUGCUUGUGCAAAAUUUCCUCGAAUUUCUUACUUCUGGCAAGACUCUUGAAGACACCUCACUAUAUAAUCCCUUUCAAUAAAUCAUUUUCUUGCUCAAGUGUAACUUGGCUAAGAGAAUUGGUAGUGGAAUCAAUAGAGUUACUAGCAACAACAUUAUUGGAUUUAGCUUUAGCAUUGUUGUUACUAGAUGAAGAAACCUUCUCGCCUUUGUUACUAGUGUUCUUAGGCUUAACUUGUGGAACAAAAUUAGACAAGAGUAAUCGUUUGGCUAGAUAAGAAGAACUCUUCUUUCGAAUGUCAUCAUUGAUUUCUUUUAAGAACUCAUGCUCUUGCUCCAAGUUGAGCUUCGCGAAGCGUAGCUUCUCAUGGGUUCUUGCAAGCUCUCUACAAUCUUCUAGAGUAGUCUCAUGAGCUAUCUUAAGAGUUUUUAAUUCUUGAGUUAGUCAUUCAAUCUCUUUCUUAUCUUCAUCAUUCGAUUUGUCUUGACUAGCAUGAUAAUUAGCAAGUUCAUUUUUAGUGCUUUCACUAGUUUCAUCAAGAAGCAAGUCAUCUUCUCCUAACAAGUCAUCCUCAUCACUAUUGAAAUCAAGAUACUUGGAGUGUGAUACCUUGGGGCCUUUAGCCAUGAAGCAGUUUCCGACUCCCUGAUAACGAGAUGAUGUAUAUGCUUCUCGCACCCCGUUGGUUACCCCAAGUGGAAGGUUGAGAUGUAGUCAGCAGCAGGUUUUCCCUCACACGGGAACUGUAAGUUUUAUCGAACCAGGAGGACUCCUAGGAUCAACAAGUAGGUGUAUUCCACCCUGGCGCUAGCAGAAGACGUGGACCUGCACACAUAACAAAUAACUUUGCUCCCAACGAGUACAGAGAGGUUGUCAAUCUCUCCGGCCAUGUAGUUUACAAAGGAUCAAAACACAAGCGGGAAGGUGAUAGUGAUUGGAAUGAAAAAGUAAAUGAAAACGGUAAAUGAUGGAGGUGUAAACAAUGAUGGUGAUAUGGACCGGACUCACAUGAUGUUCACUAGUGAUGUCUCUCUCCCAAAAGACGGUAAAUAAAUAUGCUUGGGUAAACAAAUCACAAUUGGGAAAUCGAUAGAAUUAUGAACGCAUAGCAAUGCUAAUUAUGCUACUUGAUAGUCAGAGGUUCAAUAGUAAUGGGCAGUACGCCAAGAUAAGUAGACCGUUUAUUCAUCAGCAUCUACUUGCUAAUCAUCCACCUUGAGAUAUCUAUCCAUAACAUCUCUCCGGUAUUAAGUUGCGAGCCCCACCCAAAGUGUAAACUCAAAGCAAUGAACAACUACAUUAACGAACUAUGCGUAAGGUUAACAAUCCUUGCAACAGUGGUCACAAGCACCGUUGUUUUCUCCCUCGUGGCAAUAGCACAUCCCCUAGUCUCAUGUUUCUGUCACUCAAGCUAGACAUCGAGGGGCAUGAACCCACAAUCAUGCAUAACGCUCCCUCUUGGAGUUACAAUCUACUACUCGGCAAAAGCAAUAAAUAGCAACGGAGAACAUGCAUGAAUCACUAAGGAACAUAAUAUAAAAGGAUAAAAAAAA